rnacentral:rRNA from 1 species
UACAGAGGGUGCAAGCGUUAAUCGGAUUUACUGGGCGUAAAGCGUGCGUAGGCGGCCGCAUAAGUUGGAUGUGAAAUCCCUGGGCUUAACCUGGGAACUGCAUCCAAAACUGUGUGGCUGGAAUGUGGUAGAGGGAGGUGGAAUUCCAGGUGUAGCGGUGAAAUGCGUAGAUAUCUGGAGGAACAUCAAUGGCGAAGGCAGCCUCCUGGGCCAACAUUGACGCUGAGGUACGAAAGCGUGGGGAUCAAACAGG